rnacentral:tRNA from 2 species
GCGGGCAUAGUUUAGUGGUAAAACCUCAGCCUUCCAAGCUGAUGAUCGGGGUUCGAUUCCCCGUGCCCGCU